rnacentral:lncRNA from 1 species
CUUGAAAUCACUUUUACUAGGAACAUUUGAGUCUCCUUUCCUCAGCUGUGACUGCUAGGACAGCUCUAGUUCAAAGAGGCCAGGAUGAAGAGUAAGGCUACUGCCAGUCAUCAAGUUAUCCAUCAGCAUAACAGUGAAGAUCAUUAGCAUAUGCAUAAUUUUUCAUUAUAUUAUGAUGCAUCAGUCAGAAAAAGAAGUCACAGAAAGAAAUCAUUGAGCUGCUGUGGAGAACUAUGAACAUGAUAAACAUGAAAAAUUAAAAUCCAGCUUUUCUUCCUGCCUUGGUGCCCUGCAGUUCGUGGACG